AAGCAAACAGUAAUGCGGCACAGGCUAAGUGCACCGCCAGCUACCGUAUUAGCUGCAAGGUGGAAGUAAGCGCAUUGGAGCACCAAACCUGCUUUUGCUUAAUCAGGACCAUGGGACCCUGCUUGCAUACAGCUAGCAUUCGCUCGCAUGGCCAUGAAACCUCUAUUUGGCAAGAUAUUAUGAAUAACAAAUAAAAGGUGAUCCUCCGACGAUUGCUGCAUGCAUGUGUGCUGCAACAAAAAGAUAUACAGACACCAAGGUGCACUCGCCUUAGCAGCUGCGCGUGGCACUUGUAACGAACGUGUACAAUCAGAUACGGUACUAAGGACAGGCUGUUUGUGGGUGAAUAGAGUCCUCGAGCUUUGUAUUUUUCGCUGAUGACUCACCGAUGAGCGAGUACAAGCUGUUUGACCAGGAACCUCCGCAGGUUUUGGAGUUAUCGCCUGUGCAGUUCAUGGUGCAACCAGUGCUCGUGCCAAGAGACGUAGCCAGCGCCAGGUCGUUCCCACCAUAGCACUGGCCCCUGAACUGCACACCGUACAGCUUCAGGCCUGCGCAUUGUACGAAACGUGCGCAGCAAAUAUUCACCAUACGUGCAUAACGAGGUAGACGAGAGAACAUUUCUCCCUCGCAUAUUAAUACCAUAUAUACUGCUGCACAUGCUACAGCGGCAUUGCUUCAAUUUCUCACUUUCCGCAUCUCACGUGUCAUGACUCAUACAAAAGCUACCGACUGAUGUACAGCUAGUUGGAAUAGCAGCUGUGUAACGAAUAGUAAUUCGAUCCCCGUGGCAUCUCACUCUCGCGAGUACCGUUUGUCUAGCUAUCCGGCGUAACGAGCAGCAGCAGGGUUAUAGAUACAGAGGGGUUGCCUAAAUAUCUACAUUCGGUCGGGGACACAUGCAGGACUCGCCAGGCGGCAAGGGCGGGAGGGAGAGUGUGUUAGCCCACGCACCUGCAGCACGUGCCAGGUUCGCACAUGUCGACGGCGUCACAAACUGCUUGUUGUACGCCAGGAACACAGGCAGCAGGCGACUGCUGUUGCUCUUCCUGUCGUUGUAACAGCCGAUGUAAACUCCCUCAGCUAUGGGAAACAACGCACGCAAGCGAACGAGGGAGAGCAAGACAGGCGCGUCAUCAGAUGUUUAGGAUCGACUAUAGGCCCAUAGAGAGGCAGAGAUGUGAAAAACGGCAAGGUGCGGCCGAUUUGGCACCAGAGAUGUGAUAUAAGAUAUCUUUAUUUCACCUUAUGCAGUAUUUGUCUUGAAGGGACCCUUGUAACCACCCACCAACCUCGCAAACAAAAUCGCACCGAAAAAGAGCAUAUAGGUCUUUUUUGAAUUUUUGAUGCUUACAAACUAAAUCCAGAAGUUACUAAAGAUAUUUACAAAACCCAGGGAUUGCCCUUUUGUGGCUCGUCAAUUCCCUAUCUGGGCAGUUCCAUCCGGAUCACUCACAAAAAACACCUCCUCGUAGCUCCGAGCUUAAUCCCUCCCAAUCCCAAACACCACAGAACCCUCGUGCGUGAUCCCCUCUCUCUGAGCGAUGUUGCCAUGACUUGUCUAAACAAGCCUUCGCACACCAACAGAGCCUCAUGCUCCAGAUGUUAUCCAGAAACCCCACUAAAUGGGUAUUUAGUAACCGUAAUCUGUAACAUUUUUGGACGAACAUAUAAUGGAUUUGAUGACUGGAUUCCGGCGUGUAGUUGAAGAAGUUCCGAGGAUCCCUGAAAAAUUGGCUGAGGCUAGGAAACCACAUACUCACCCAUGGCGAAAAACCAAUUGUGGAACCCCAUAACUUCUGCCGCAUGACACCAGCUAAAUUUCUGAAGCAUUAUCUGUAUGCUCUGCCCGAGCAAGAUCUUUCGUUUGGAAGCGUGGGAUAAAUCAUUGCGUUUCAAACUAUAAAUCGCAAGGGGGGAUAUGAUAUCCCCCCGUUUGAUCCGGGCGCCAUUAUUACUAUAACAAUCAUUAUCUAUUACGAUAAUUUAACUAUAAUUAAGAACUACUAUAAUUAAUUGUUUUAUUAUUAUUCUUGCUAUUACUUAAUUAUUUUAAUUGUUAUUAUUUUCCUAUAUUCAUCCAUUAUUAUUGUUAUUAUUACUAUUUACAUUAUUAUUAUUAUUAUUAUUAUUAUUAUUAUUAUCAUCGUCGUCUAUCCAUCCGCAUGGACGACAGCGCCUGCUGGCUAGUCAGUGUGGUCACGAGAUAGCUCUACUAGAUCUGUGAAAUAUUGUAAACCGAGCAAUCCAUCUCGCUGCCGUUAGGUGGCUCGCAUGGCUGUAUGCAUGAAUGUAAUAAGCAAUGCCGGCACCGAACGUACCUGGAAUUGGAAUUGGGUUUGGAGGCGGCGGUCCUGGUGGCGGCGGGUUUGCUGCGUUAUUACAGAAGCGCAGUAGCGGGCCGGUGUGGACAGAGUUAGCGCUUCCGUGAAGAUGUUUGGUGGUAUGGCAAAGUAUUGGGUGCAGGUUCUGCCUGCUGCAUUAUCACUGACCUGCCAAACCAGCCAUUUGCAUUUACAUACAGCCACGUACAAACUCGGGGGCAAUCAAGCGUUUUUAGACUGUGUCAUUCACUGUUUCGCUGGAUAGCAGCUGUCCAAUAAUGAUAUUGCAGGUUUAUUCCUACAUCCCUCUAUCUCGCUGUAAUUUAAUCCCUCAACAUACCAUACCUGGCGGGGGGGGCAGGCUUGGUGGUGGUGAAGGUGGCGGCGAAGGAGGUGGUGGUGGGGGUGGUGGAGGGGGCGGCGGCGGCGGGCUUGGGGAGGGGGGUGGCGAUGGCGGAGAUGGUGGAGGUGGAAGCUCUGCAGAAGGUGGCAGGUGGCAGGUUGGCGACGGAAUACACAGACUCGGUUUAGCAGUGCCUGCUACUCUGCCUGAAGUGAGCAGAAGUGCUCACAGUUCCUGGGUGAGAGCCCUAGACGUGAGCGCCUGUUCGAAAGGGUGCGGGCUCGAGUGGAGCCAGCUAGCGUAUCUCGAAGAUAUGCCACGCACCUAGCCGUCCUGGUGGUUCGGCAUAUGCUCGACCUACUUUGGUGAAUUGCUGGCGAUGGAAUCGUUCCAAUGCACAGCCAGGUAGAUGUACACCGGGUCUGGUCUGGUGACACUACUGUCUUAUUGCAGUUCGUAUGGCGUAGUACAGGGUGGUAAAGGUGGUUGGUGCUGUAUGGUGAGUAAUCGUUGAAAUGACAAUAUGUUCAGGUGGCCCAGAAGCCUCCCACUCUGUAACAACAACAAGACGUACAGCAAGAGGCAGGCUGUUCGUCUGUGAAGUAGGAUUGUACACGGGCUACCAGGUGCAUGUCCCGUCACCGAUUCGACAUGCACUGGGUUCCCGGCUGGAACCCUCGUUCGUAUUUCGUUCCACUCUUUUAACGGGACACGGAAAGCCCUCCAGCUUUGUAUUUUUCGCUGACGACUCACCAACGAGCGAGUACAAACUGUUUAACCAGGAACCUCCGCAGAUUUUGGAGUUAUCGCCUGUGCAGUUCAUUGUGCAACCAUUGCCCUCGCCAAGAGACGUAGCCAGCCCCAGGUCGUUCCCACCAUAGCACUGGCCCCUGAACUGCACACCGUACAGCUUCAGGCCUGCGCAUUGUACGAAACGUGCGCAGCAAAUAUUCACCAUACGUGCAUAACGAGGUAGACGAGAGGACAUUUCUCCGUCGCAUAUUAAUACCAUAUAUACUGCUGCACAUGCUACAGCGGCAUUGCUUCAAUUUCU
rnacentral:lncRNA from 1 species